rnacentral:rRNA from 1 species
UACGGAGGGUGCAAGCGUUAUCCGGAUUUACUGGGUUUAAAGGGUGCGCAGGCGGAUAUGUAAGUCAGUGGUGAAAUCUCUGGGCUUAACCCGGAAAUUGCCAUUGAUACUAUAUAUCUUGAAUGCUGUGGAGGUAAGCGGAAUAUGUCAUGUAGCGGUGAAAUGCUUAGAUAUGACAUAGAACACCUAUUGCGAAGGCAGCUUACUACGCAGAUAUUGACGCUCAUGCACGAAAGCGUGGGAGCAA